rnacentral:rRNA from 1 species
GUGUCAGCAGCCGCGGUAAUACGGAGGGUGCGAGCGUUAAUCGGAAUUACUGGGCGUAAAGGGUCCGUAGGUGGUUACAUAAGUCAGAUGUGAAAGCCCUGGGCUCAACCUAGGAAUUGCAUUUGAUACUGUGUGACUAGAGUCAAGCAGAGGAGCGGGGAAUUUCCGGUGUAGCGGUGAAAUGCGUAGAGACCGGAAGGAACACCAGUGGCGAAGGCGACGCUCUGGGCAUUGACUGACGCUGAGGGACGAAAGCGUGGGUAGCAAACAGGAUUAGAUACCCUGGUAGUCCAUGCUGUAAACGAUGAAUACUAGCUGUUAGGAUCGGUGUAAAGGUCUUAGUGGCGAAGCUAACGCGAUAAGUAUUCCGCCUGGGGAGUACGGCCGCAAGGUUAAAACUCAAAUGAAUUGGCGGGG